ACAGGACCCAGAGACUGAGACAGGACCCAGAGACUGAGACAGGACCCAGAGACUGAGACAGGAGUCACAUCCAACCAACUACCCCUGAGACAGGAGUCACAUCCAACCAACUACCCCUGAGACAGGAGUCACAUCCAACCAACUACCCCUGAGACAGGAGUCACAUCCAGCCAACUACCCCUGAGACAGGAGUCACAUCCAACCAACUACCCCUGAGACAGGAGUCACAUCCAACCAACUACCCCUGAGACAGGAGUCACAUCCAGCCAACUACCCCUGAGACAGGAGUCACAUCCAACCAACUACCCCUGAGACAGGAGUCACAUCCAACCAACUACCCCUGAGACAGGAGUCACAUCCAACCAACUACCCCUGAUACAGGAGUCACAUCCAACCAACUACCCCUGAGACAGGAGUCACAUCCAGCAAACUACCCCUGAGACAGGAGUCACAUCCAUCCAACUACCCCUGAGACAGGAGUCACAUCCAGCCAACUACCCCUGAGACAGGAGUCACAUCCAUCCAACUACCCCUGAGACAGGAGUCACAUCCGGCUGAGUAGCCCCAGAGCCUGUCCUGGUCCUUGAGAUGACCACUACUAGGCCAUAGAGACACAGAACCACUAGUCUAGACCACUACUAGGCCAUAGACACGCAGAACCAAUAGUCUAGACCACUACUAGGCCAUAGAGACACAGAACCACUAGUCUAGACACACGUAUUUGUCCUGGGUUGCAUUCACACCAAACGGAAGAAAAAGGAACUGAAACAGAAAGGGACGACCUGAACUUGUCCAAUAAGAAAUGCUUGUUUUAAUUUUACUUCUUUGCUCACUCUGCUAUUUCAAAACGAAUGUGAAAAAGAUGGAAAUCAAGGUCCCAUAAACACAAGAAAACAGCAGCGCCUUUACAAGGUUCCAGAACUAAAAGGGCCUCCUACAGAACAGGAUGCUGUAUGCAGAGAUACAAUCCUACCUUUACAAGGUUCCAGAACUAAAAGGGCCUCCUACAGAACAGGAUGCUGUAUGCAGAGAUACAAUCCUACCUUUACUGAUUCACCUCGAACAUUUCCGUCACAUCGAUCUUUGUACAGAUAUUUAUGCUUUUCAGAAUUAAAAUGGUUUCACUUCCCAAUACUUACUUUUUAACUGCUGUUUGAAGUGGAAUUAAAAACCAUUGUAUUUCACUGUUACUGUUUAAUUUCACCACGGUCUGGCCUGUCCCUAAGUUAGCCAGGUAUGAAACUAAAAACACAGACAACUCACUUCCCUAAAAGAGCAACACAACACUUCUCUCUGUGAGGUAAAAGGUCAAGGAGUACCGGUACUUCCUAGUUUUUCAACAUGUGCAGUGUGAUGUUUUCAUCUAGAACGUAUAGGCCUACAGCUGGUUUGGAAGUAGCUGCAGCACAUGGAGCCCCUCGUUGACCUCACUGCUCUCUAGUGGUGUUAAUACAACGGUACACCUUCGGUGAACAAGUGCACACAUCAAGGAAAGGAGUCCAUAGGAGCAAGGGAUUGAUUUAGGGAUUGAGCUCAGGUGUCAAGGACAUGUGUGCAGCCCAGUUAGAGGUCCCGCUGUGAAGGACAGGUGUAAAGGUAGAGGUACUCACAGUCCGGCAGGCAGCCCAGUUAGAGGUCCCGCUGUGAAGGACAGGUGUAAAGGUAGAGGUACUCACAGUCCGGCAGGCAGCCCAGUUAGAGGUCCCGCUGUGAAGGACAGGUGUAAAGGUAGAGGUACUCACAGUCCGGCAGGCAGCCCAGUUAGAGGUCCCGCUGUGAAGGACAGGUGUAAAGGUAGAGGUACUCACAGUCCGGCAGGCAGCCCAGUUAGAGGUCCCGCUGUGAAGGACAGGUGUAAAGGUAGAGGUACUCACAGUCCGGCAGGCAGCCCAGUUACAGGUCCCGCUGUGAAGGACAGGUGU